AUUUAUAAUAAUGUAAAUUUUAUGCGGAAAUCCAACCGCGUACAGCCUAGAACGCUGUGAUUUCUUAAGGAGAAAAGAAAAUG
rnacentral:ncRNA from 1 species